rnacentral:rRNA from 1 species
AGUGAACGCUGGCGGCGUGCUUAACACAUGCAAGUCGAGGGGAAACGACAUCGAAAGCUUGCUUUUGAUGGGCGUCGACCGGCGCACGGGUGAGUAACGCGUAUCCAACCUGCCCACCACUUGGGGAUAACCUUGCGAAAGUAAGACUAAUACCCAAUGAUAUCUCUAGAAGACAUCUGAAAGAGAUUAAAGAUUUAUCGGUGAUGGAUGGGGAUGCGUCUGAUUAGCUUGUUGGCGGGGUAACGGCCAACCAAGGCGACGAUCAGUAGGGGUUCUGAGAGGAAGGUCCCCCACAUUGGAACGGAGACACGGUCCAAACUCCUACGGGAGGCAGCAGUGAGGAAUAUUGGUCAAUGGGCGAGAGCCUGAACCAGCCAAGUAGCGUGCAGGAAGACGGCCCUAUGGGUUGUAAACUGCUUUUAUAAGGGAAUAAAGUGAGUCUCGUGAGACUUUUUGCAUGUACCUUAUGAAUAAGGACCGGCUAAUUCCGUGCCAGCCGCCGCAGUAA